CGACGAGUGGCGGAAUUGGCAGACGCAUCGCGCUUAAGACGCGACGCCUAAAAAGCAUGUGGGUUCGAUUCCCACUUCGUCGA
rnacentral:tRNA from 1 species